rfam:Clostridium acidisoli DSM 12555 genome assembly, contig: EJ29DRAFT_scaffold00058.58
GGUCAAGCUACAAAGGGCGCAUGGUGAAUGCCUUGGCACUAGAAGUCGAAGAAGGACGCGACAAGCUGCGAUAAGCUUCGGGUAGGCGCAAAUAGCCUGUGAUCCGGAGAUUUCCGAAUGGGGAAACCCACAUACCUUAACGGUAUGUACCAUAUACUGAAUUCAUAGGUAUAUGGGGAUAAACCUGGGGAACUGAAACAUCUAAGUACCCAGAGGAAGAGAAAGAAACAUCGAUUUCCUAAGUAGCGGCGAGCGAAAGGGAAUGAGCCCAAACCAAGAACUUUGUUCUUGGGGUUGCGGAUAGAUCAUAAACGCAUAAUAUCUUAACCGAAGAGUUCUGGAAAGCUCUACCGUAGUAGGUAAUAGUCCUGUAGGUAAAAAGAGAAAAUUGCUAGAUCUAAUCCAGAGUACCACGAGACACGUGAAACCUUGUGGGAAGCUGGGAGGACCACCUCCCAAGGCUAAAUACUAACUAGUGACCGAUAGUGAAGCAGUACCGUGAGGGAAAGGUGAAAAGAACCCCGGAAGGGGAGUGAAAUAGAACCUGAAACCGUGUGCCUACAACCGGUCGAAGCACUUUUUAUGUGUGACGACGUGCUUUUUGUAGAACGAGCCAGCGAGUUACGGUAUGCAGCAAGGUUAAGUACUUAUGGUACGGAGCCGAAGGGAAACCAAGUCUGAAUAGGGCGACUAGUUGCAUGCUGUAGACCCGAAACCGGGUGACCUAUCCAUGGCCAGGUUGAAGCGGAAGUAAAAUUCCGUGGAGGACCGAACCACAUUGGUGUUGAAAAACCAUGGGAUGAGCUGUGGAUAGCGGAGAAAUUCCAAUCGAACUCGGAGAUAGCUGGUUCUCCUCGAAAUAGCUUUAGGGCUAGCGUCGAUUAAUUGAGUUAUGGAGGUAGAGCACUGAAUGAGCUAGGGGCUGACAACAGUUACUGAACUCUAUCAAACUCCGAAUGCCAUAUACUUUUAUUUCGGCAGUCAGACUACGAAUGAUAAGAUCCGUGGUCAAAAGGGAAACAGCCCAGACCAUCAGCUAAGGUCCCAAAGUGUAAGUUAAGUGGAAAAGGAUGUGGGAUUUCUAAGACAACUAGGAUGUUGGCUCAGAAGCAGCCACUCAUUCAAAGAGUGCGUAAUAGCUCACUAGUCAAGAGAUCCCGCGCCGAAGAUGUCCGGGGCUAAAACUUACCACCGAAGCUAUGGGCUCGAAAGAGCGGUAGAGGAGCUUCCUGUAUGGGCUGAAGUCGUACCGUAAGGAGCGGUGGACUGUACAGGAGUGAGUAUGCUGGCAUAAGUAGCGAGAACUAAGUGAGAAUCUUAGUGGUCGAAAACCUAAGGUUUCCUGGGGAAGGCUCGUCCGCCCAGGGUUAGUCGGGACCUAAGCCGAGGCCGAAAGGCGUAGGUGAUGGACAAUCGGUUGAUAUUCCGAUACCACCAAACUCCGUUUUGAGAAAUGGGGUGACGCAGUAGGAUAGGAUGUGCGCACUAUUGGAUGUGCGUCUAAGCACUAAGACAUGCAGGUUGGCAAAUCCGCCUGAUUAGUUGAGGUGUUA